AAUAUAUCACAUUAUGGAAGUUACAGAUGCUCUAACUGCCAUUUCUCAGGGGUUUUAAAGAAGCAUUUGUUGUGUGUGUCAUCAUAUUUAAAAUAAAAGGAGGGGUGUUUUAUUCAUGGAGGGUUCUGUAGCCUCUACCAAAAUAUGUGUGGUACAGAAACCCUGCAGCCUCAUGUCAAGUUUGAUGGGAACAAGAAGUGAUGGGUCAAGUCCACCCAGCAAAGUCUGGGGUAUUGCAUCCACACAUUAAAUGUGUGUGUGUGGACAGGAACUUCAAAACACAUCAAUUGAUAAUGUCGUGGACUGGAUUUGAAUGGUGGAGUCAUCAGGUUGAUCCAGAAGGCAUCAAUGAUCCCAGAGGGGUGAGAGAGUACAGUGCUUCCGAACUGUGAUGAGGCAUCAGUUGGCAAGAUAUUUUUCUGAGUGGAGACGGAUUUUCUGCCUGACAUGUAAUAGCUACACCUGAUACCUUUACAAUUACUGUAUCACGCCCUGGAAACAUUCAGAGAAAAGGAGAAAACACUGGAUUCAGCAGUUAGAAACUACACACAAAAGCUGCAUUGAGUUUUCAGUUGUGUCCUUUUUCUGACUGUGAUACCCUCGGAGCACUGGAUGUGCUUUUAUAAAGAGAGGAUGUCGACAGCAAUUCAAAUUCACCUAAUGCAGACAUUUUCUUGUGUAUGGUAUGCGAGAGGUCUGUAAUAAAGGAAUUGAGCAAGAUAUAAAAGCUGUAUUUUGUUUGAAUAUUACUUCUCAGAAAAGGUCGGAACUUUAAAUAGGAGAAAUAUGACAUUUACAUGAAUACAAAAAAAUAGUAAUUUCCAAAACCAAUUUCCCACACGUACAGCUCAGCUUGAAGAGCUCAUAGCUGUAAUAUGAGGCCAAUGAAAUUAUUCAUUGAUUAAAAAAUGCCACACAAUACAAGGCCUCAAGCAAUAAACUUAUGAACCAAUGAGACUCAAAGGGCAACCAUGACAAACAAUGCUGCUGGGAUCCCACUCUCUAGUCAAUCCCAUGACUUUGCCUUAAGCCAAAAGUCAUGAAAUUACAGUUUGUUAUCAGGUGUAGGGGAGCCAACAUUUAGACAGCUUACCCCAAGAGCAGACACAUUACUAUUUUUAUCUCUCUAUUUGCUCAAAUUCACCAAAUUAGUCAUCUUUCACCGCAGGUAAAAAAACUGAUAUCUAUGUGUUUUAAACUUAAGGAGUUGUCAGAAUAUGGAAGCCUGGAAGCUAUGAUUUUAAGUUUAACAAUCCUCAUAACGAAGUAUAAAAUCGGAUUAGUCGCUUUUUACGUAAACCUGCGGUUAACCAACAACAGCAUAGAUGUUCAAAUGUCAUAGCCUGCAGUUCUUCACUCUGCAAAAGAAUAAAUGAGUGGAGACACAUGACAUAUGUCGAUCCUUCCGUACAGAUCCAGCGCACCAUAAUCCAGCCACUUGCUUUUUCUCACGGGAGACAUUUUAUAUGUAACAGCAGGAGAGGUACAGGUGCAAGUUAUAAAAUGAAUGAUGGCUGAAUUCCAUUUAGCUGCUUCAGUUUCAAGGUCCUGUUAUUGUGCAUGUUGGCUCACUGUCUAGUGGGACACGUGAAAGGAACAGAGCCGUCAUUAAUGCUAUACGUAACAACUAUGCUUUUCCUACUAUAGUAUAACAAGUCAAAAUGUCUGCUGUUAAAAAAAAGUAUCCAAUCUUUAUCUUAAAAGUAACACUAUCAUGGUGGAAAAUAUACUGCCAUACAAGUAAAAGUCUUGUCUUCAAAAUUGUACUUAAAGCAGCCAAAUGACAGCAUGUACAGAGGGUGUGUCCAAACUUUUGACUGUAUGUAAGAGGAGUUGCUCGCAGUUACAAACCCACAAAGAACUGUCACCCAAGUCUGCUGAUCAGUUUAGCUCAGCUUUUUAGCCUCCUUCAGCUCAUUGUUUUGGUUUCAAUCUAUGGUUCAGUCUCACCACUCUCAUCAGCAUCAUUUCCAGAUGCAGCAAGCAGCUGUGAGCUACCUGCCCAGCACCGCACAGCAGACAGACAAAGGUAGAGAAUAGCUGAUGAAGAUAGCAGAGAAUGUAGCAACUAAAGAGCCAAUUUCCUCAAGAGUUGGUGGAGAGUUAAACAGAGCUAAAAGAGGAAUGGGUAUUGGAUUUAAAUUCAUCAAGUGGCCACAAACAACUUCAAGUGAAUGCUAAUGUUGCUCUUUAUCUCCUAGUUGUGUAAAUAAGCAGUUGUUUGCGACUUAAAAUGUGAUAAUGCAGGAGUAAGUGAAAGUAAAUAUGCUUAUUAUGCAAGGGUCCAAUUCAGAGUGUUAUAUGCAUCAUACUAUGAUAUUAUACCCCAUUCAUUAACAUGUAAGCAGUAUUUUAAUAUUGUAGCUGGCUGAGAUUAAGCUAAAUUGAACUACUUACAGUUGGAUAG